AAUCUCUUCCAAAUUUAUCAGAUCAAAUCACACCCCCAAAAAUUUCUUUAUUUUCCUUUCCUUCUUUCCUCACUACACCACAUAUUCUUUCUUUCUUACCAAAAAAAAAAAAAAAAAAAAAAAAUUGUAAAAAAUUAAAGGCUAGAAACAAAAACAAAACAAUCUUUUUUCUUAGCUGAACAUAUUAUUGUAGUAUUCAUAAAUUGAUUGGAAAGAUUGGAAAGAGAAGAGAAAAGAGUGGGGGGCAAAAUAUAGAACAAAUCCUCAAGUUCUACUAUUGCCCCCUAAUUUAGAUCUUACUUUUUUUCUCAUCUUGGUAUUGCUUAAUUGGUUGAUUCUUGAUUUGGGAAAAUGCAAUCUGAUCUUGGAAAGUUAUUCAUUGGUGGAAUUUCAUGGGACACAAAUGAAGAGAGGCUGAAGGAGUAUUUUAGUACUUAUGGGGAGGUUUUAGAGGCUGUAAUUAUGAAGGAUAGGACUACUGGACGUGCCCGUGGUUUUGGUUUUAUUGUCUUUGCUGAUCCUGCUGUUGCUGAUCGGGUUAUCAAGGAGAAACACAAUAUUGAUGGCAGGAUGGUUGAAGCAAAGAAGGCUGUUCCAAGGGAUGACCAGAGCACAAUAGGUAGAAGUAGUCCUAGCAUUCAGGGUUCUCCUGGUCCAGGACGUACAAGAAAAAUAUUUGUUGGAGGUUUAGCAUCCACAGUAACUGAGGCUGACUUUAAGCAGUACUUUGAGCAAUUUGGAACGAUCACAGAUGUAGUAGUUAUGUACGACCAUAACACUCAGAGACCAAGAGGCUUUGGUUUCAUAACUUAUGAUUCAGAGGAUGCUGUGGAUCAAGUAUUGCUUAAGACCUUCCAUGAGCUGAAUGGUAAAAUGGUCGAGGUCAAACGUGCUGUCCCGAAAGAGUUAUCACCAGGUCCAAGACUUACUGGGUUCAACCAUCCAUUAGGUAGGAUCAGUAACUUCCUUAAUGGAUACAACACACAAGGAGGAUACUCUCCAAAUACAGUUGCAGGAUAUGGAGUUAGGAUGGAUGGUAGAUUUAGCCCCAUUGCUGGAGGUAGGAGUGGUUUUGCUCCGUUUGGUUCUGGUUAUGGAAUGGGUCUUAACUUUGAACCAGGGUUAAGCCCAGGAUAUGGGGGAAGUCCAGCAAACUUUAACAGCAACUUGAGCUACGGACGGGGACUGAGUCCUUAUUAUGUUAAUAGUUCAAAUAGAUUUGGUGGUCCUAUUGGGUUUGAUGGAGUAAAUGGAGGAGGAAGUAGUUCAUUCUUCAGCUCAGCAACUCGCAAUUUGUGGGGAAAUGGGGGUUUGGGUUAUGGAACAAACUCCAACAACUCUAGCAACUUUGCAGUAUCUGGAAGUGGGAACACUGGGGCAGGAAACUUUAGCAACACUGGAGUUUGGGGUUCAUCUUCAAUAUCCUCUCAAGGUAGAGGAACUGUUUCUAACCAAAGUGGAAAUCUUGGUUAUGGGGGUGAUGACAGUUUAUAUGGGUUGACUGGAGGAGGCUAUGGAAGAAAUGUCACAAGCGGGGCUCCUCCUACAUCAUCAUAUUCUGCAUCUAAUGGUAGCUAUGAUGGGGCUCUUGCUGAUUUGUACAGUGGUGGUUUGGGAUAUAGUGAUUCCACUUGGCGCUCUGAGCGAGAUGGAUCUGGUUCAAUUGGAUAUGGACUUGGAACUGCACCCUCAGACAUGCCACCUAAAAGUUCUGCUAGUUAUGUUGGCAGUUAUGGUGUUGGUAAAAGACAGACAAACAGCGGUAAGCUUCUCACUAACCCUAUAAAGCCAGAGGUAGCUUCACCUUGCUAAAUAUUCAUUGAAGUUUCUGAUGAACUUGGAUUAAUCUUGUUGAUACCAUGAUUUGUGAUUAGAAGCAGGGAUUGGUGGCUAGGAGAAUAUUGGCAAGCAAGGGUGUUACAUUAGGUGAAACUUUGGUGUAGAAUUUGAAUCAUGAAUUUCGCAUACUUCUAUAACUAGAUGAAGUUGAGAGGUUAAAGAAUUGGAUAUCCUUUUGUAGGGCUAACUGGAGUGCCUGUUUUGAAGGUCUAGAGAUAGAAGUUUACAAGAUUUUGUGCUAAAGGGUUUUUUGUUUUUAUGUCUUUAGGAAUUCCUCUUUUAUUUUCCUUCGAGUGAGGUGUAAAAUCAGGUUGCGGCAUAUAGUCAAAAAUGUAUCGUGCAUCUCUGGUGAGGCAGCGAUACAUACACAACAAAAUAGACAGAAAUUUUUGCGUAAAUUUUUUAGAUUUAAUGUUUUUGCUGUAACGUCGCUGCAAAGUUGCAGAUUCUUAUCUGGUAAUGUGUUUGCUCUGUAGUUUCCCUUAAGUGGGAUUUUCCUUUCUCAUUUGGAUGUAAGGAAGGUUGUUAUUUAGUGUGAUACAUUUUAGGGAUACCCAUCUAGGGUCCCCUAAUGAAUAAUUUACUGCAUAUUCUGAUGUUCA